CGGUGGAGCAUGUGGUUUAAUUCGAAGCAACGCGAAGAACCUUACCAACUUUUGACAUGUCCCGUAUGGUUUCAGAGAUGGCUCUAGGCGGGAACAGGUGUGACGAGCGCAACCCUCGGCCUUAGUUGCCAUCGGGAUGUCAAGUCUCAUGGCCCUUACAGGUUGGCUACAUACAUGGCGGUGACAAGGGACGCAAAAGGGCAACCUUUCGCAUCUCAAAAAACCGUCUCAGUUCGGAUUGGGGUGCAACCCGACCCCAUGAAGUUGGAAUCGCUAGUAAUCGGGAUCAGCACGCCACGGUGAAUACGUUCCCGGGCCUUGUACACACCGCCGUCACACCAUGGGAGUUGGUUUUACCUGAAGACGGUGCGCUAACCGCAAGGGAGCAGCCGGCCACGUAGGGUCAGCGACUGGGGUGAAGUCGUACAAGGU
rnacentral:rRNA from 1 species